CCNGGUGCGAAUCCGGGACGGUCCCGCCACUGUGACCGGUCGCGUGCGGCCGGGAGUCAGA
rnacentral:ncRNA from 2 species